GUACACACGGAUAACAUACCGAAAGGUAUGCUAAUACGGGAUAACAUAAGAAAGUCGCAUGGCUUUCUUAUCAAAGCUUUUGCGGUACAGGAUGGACCCGCGUCUGAUUAGCUAGUUGGUAAGGUAACGGCUUACCAAGGCGACGAUCAGUAGCCGACCUGAGAGGGUGAUCGGCCACAUUGGAACUGAGACACGGUCCAAACUCCUACGGGAGGCAGCAGUGGGGAAUAUUGCACAAUGGGCGAAAGCCUGAUGCAGCAACGCCGCGUGAGCGAUGAAGGCCUUCGGGUCGUAAAGCUCUGUCCUCAAGGAAGAUAAUGACGGUACUUGAGGAGGAAGCCCCGGCUAACUACGUGCCAGCAGCCGCGGUAAUACGUAGGGGGCUAGCGUUAUCCGGAAUUACUGGGCGUAAAGGGUGCGUAGGCGGUCUUUCAAGUCAGAAGUGAAAGGCUACGGCUCAACCGUAGUAAGCUUUUGAAACUGUAAGACUUGAGUGCAGGAGAGGAGAGUGGAAUUCCUAGUGUAGCGGUGAAAUGCGUAGAUAUUAGGAGGAACACCAGUUGCGAAGGCGGCUCUCUGGACUGU
rnacentral:rRNA from 1 species